GUCACCAUCGUCCAAUGGUUAAGACGCCACGUUGUGGAUAGUAGUGUCCGUGGCGAUCCAGGUUCGAUUCCUGGUAGUGACA